rnacentral:rRNA from 1 species
CCUACGGGGGGCAGCAGUGAGGAAUAUUGGUCAAUGGGCGAAAGCCUGAACCAGCAACGCCGCGUGAGGGAUGAAGGCCUUCGGGUCGUAAACCUCUUUUCUGGGAGAAGAGACAAGGACGGUAUCCCAGGAAUAAGUCUCGGCUAACUACGUGCCAGCAGCCGCGGUAAAACGUAGGAGGCAAGCGUUAUCCGGAUUUACUGGGCGUAAAGCGCACGCAGGCGGCUGCGUAAGUCGGACGUGAAAGCUCCUGGCUCAACUGGGAGAGGUCGUUCGAAACUGCGCGGCUUGAGGUUGGAAGAGGAGAGCGGAAUUCCCGGUGUAGUGGUGGAAUGCGUAGAUAUCGGGAGGAACACCAGUGGCGAAAGCGGCUCUCUGGUCCACACCUGACGCUCAGGUGCGAAAGCGUGGGUAGCGAACGGGAUUAGAUACCCUUGUAGUC